rnacentral:rRNA from 1 species
UGGGGAAUUUUGGACAAUGGGCGAAAGCCUGAUCCAGCAAUGCCGCGUGUGUGAAGAAGGCCUUCGGGUUGUAAAGCACUUUUGUCCGGAAAGAAAUCCUUGGCUCUAAUACAGUCGGGGGAUGACGGUACCGGAAGAAUAAGCACCGGCUAACUACGUGCCAGCAGCCACGGUAAUACGUAGGGUGCAAGCGUUAAUCGGAAUUACUGGGCGUAAAGCGUGCGCAGGCGGUUUGCUAAGACCGAUGUGAAAUCCCCGGGCUCAACCUGGGAACUGCAUUGGUGACUGGCAGGCUAGAGUAUGGCAGAGGGGGGUAGAAUUCCACGUGUAGCAGUGAAAUGCGUAGAGAUGUGGAGGAAUACCGAUGGCGAAGGCAGCCCCCUGGGCCAAUACUGACGCUCAUGCACGAAAGCGUGGGGAGCAAACAGGAUUAGAUACCCUGGUAGUCCACGCCCUAAACGAUGUCAACUAGUUGUUGGGGACUCAUUUCCUUAGUAACGUAGCUAACGCGUGAAGUUGACCGCCUGGGGAGUACGGUCGCAAGAUUAAAACUUAAAUGAAUUGACGGGGU